GAUGAACGCUGGCGGCGUGCUUAACACAUGCAAGUCGAACGGAAAGGCUCCUGCUUGCAGGGGUACUCGAGUGGCGAACGGGUGAGUAACACGUGGGUGAUCUGCCCUGCACUUCGGGAUAAGCCUGGGAACUGGGUCUAAUACCGGAUAGGACGAUGGUUUGGAUGCCAUUGUGGAAAGUUUUUCGGUGUGGGAUGAGCUCGCGGCCUAUCAGCUUGUUGGUGGGGUAAUGGCCUACCAAGGCGUCGACGGGUAGCCGGCCUGAGAGGGUGUACGGCCACAUUGGGACUGAGAUACGGCCCAGACUCCUACGGGAGGCAGCAGUGGGGAAUAUUGCACAAUGGGCGCAAGCCUGAUGCAGCGACGCCGCGUGGGGGAUGACGGCCUUCGGGUUGUAAACUCCUUUCGCUAGGGACGAAGCGCAAGUGACGGUACCUGGAGAAGAAGCACCGGCUAACUACGUG
rnacentral:rRNA from 1 species